UACGAAGGGGGCUAGCGUUGUUCGGAUUUACUGGGCGUAAAGCGCACGUAGGCGGAUUGGUCAGUUAGGGGUGAAAUCCCGGGGCUCAACCUCGGAACUGCCUUUGAUACUGCAAAUCUCGAGUCCGGAAGAGGUGAGUGGAAUUCCUAGUGUAGAGGUGAAAUUCGUAGAUAUUAGGAAGAACACCAGUGGCGAAGGCGGCUCACUGGUCCGGUACUGACGCUGAGGUGCGAAAGCGUGGGGAGCAAACAGG
rnacentral:rRNA from 1 species